GAUGGAAAGUGGGCUUAAAGAAGCCAUCUUUUUAGAGUGGGUUAAUCCUCAGUAUUUCUAAUUAAUGAUCAAAUGAAGUUCCUUUUGUUCAACAAAACUUCUUCACGAAACUAAGGGGUGAAGGUAAUAAUGUAAAGAUGAGUAGCUCAGUUUUUGGGGUUUAUUUGGUUCAGGAAAUUAAACGCUAAGUGAACGAUGAUGAUAAGCAAAGCUAAAGGAACUCGGCAACAACGAAAACCGCCUGUUUAGCAAAAACAUGGCUCCUUGAAAUCAUAAGGAGUCGUGCCUUCCCGGUGAGUUUAAACUUAAACGGAUGCGGUAAAGCGUGCUAAGGUAGCUAAGUUAUGGCCUAGUUAAUUGUAGGCCCUGUGAAUGGUUUGACGAGUUUUCUUCUGUCUCUAGCUUGUUUUAGUGAACUUGAAUUGGAUGUGCAAAUGCUUCCUUGCGAAAGAAAGACGAGAAGACCCCGUGAAGUUAGAAAUCUAUGUGCGUGGAGGUAGAAGGUUACUUCCCUUAGCUUAUGGUUUUGG
rnacentral:rRNA from 1 species